CAAACUUCUAGCGGCAAAACCUACACAAUGGAGGGAGACCUAUCAGAUACUGAAAGACUUUGAAUUAUACCACGAGUUGCUCACGAUAUUUUCAAUCAAACAGAAUCUUUUGAAGACUCAAUAAAAUUCGAAAUAAAGAUUUCGUUUUAUGAAAUUUAUUUGGAGAAAAUAUUUGACUUAUUAAGUGAUUCACAGAAGGAAAGCUUAUUUGUAUAUGAAGACAAAAAGCGUAUUCCCUUCAUUAGAGUAAGUAAUUGGUCUAAUUUUUUUUUAACUUUAAGUUUUUAAAAAAAUCAUGUCUAUUCCAAAAUCUUUAAAAUUUAUACUUG